GGGCCCUUAGCUCAGUCGGUAGAGCAAUUCCCUUUUAAGGAAUGGGUCGCAAGUUCGAAUCUUGCAGGGCUCACCA
rnacentral:tRNA from 3 species